rnacentral:lncRNA from 1 species
UUUGCUCUCUCUAACUCACAAGCCCCCUUUUCAAACACUUAGAAUCUCUACCUCUUUGAGCCAUUUUUUGGGAGCUUGGAAACUUGGCCUGUGUGGAGAUUUUCGAACACUUUUGGGUGAAGUAGAUCUAACAUUCAUGUCCCCAUAGUUUUGAUUAUAAACAUGAUUUUUGGAAUAAGGAUGUGGCUGCAUGUUAUGAAAUUUAUUUAGAAUAUGCCUAUUUUUCCAGGAUUGUGAUCCUCAUUAGCAUGAUAAAUUGAGCAUUGAAAUUAUUUCUAUUGGCUAUGAAAAUUUGUGGGAAAGUACCCAUGUGAAGAUGGAAAGACCUUACGUCAAUGUCCAUCCCGAUUUGGAAGUUAUGGGUUAUUUUCCAAAGUAUGUCAAAACUGUAAACUGCAUUUUCAGGAACUUUACAUGUAUUAGUUUGAACUAUCUACUGACCAAAUGAUCUCAAACCAUUUUUAAAUGAAAUAUAGGUAUGCUUACUUCAAAUUUUGUUUUGGAACCAUGUUGAAAUUCUUAAUGGUUUGGGAAUUAUGCCCCUAUUUGUAUAAAUAUGUCACUAUUGUGAAUUGCAAUGAAUUUCUAAAACUAUUGUAUAUUUUAUACUGAACUGUUUACUGACCAAAUAGUGUCCAAAUAAUCUCAAACCACUUUUAAAUGAAAUAUGGGUAUGUUUACUUCAAAAAUGGUCUUGGAACCAUGUUGAAAUUCUUGAUGGUUUAGGAAUUUUGCCCCUAUUUGUAUGAAUAUGCCACUGUUGUGAGUUACAGCGAAUUUUCAUAAUUGUUAUAUGUUUUAUGAAAGGUUGUUCACUUACCAAUAUGUCUUUGAUUAAGGCUAAACCACUUCUAAAUAAAAGGUGGAUGAAUCUAUUUUCAAAUUGGUUUUGGGACCAUGACAAAACUCUCUAUGGAUUGGAAGUUAGGCUAAAUUUUCUAAGAGGUUAUCAUACUGAAAACUCUGUCCUGUUGUGAAUUAUUGAAUAUGCAUAGUUGAAAUGAGCCAUGUUUAUGAUAUAGUAAAUGCUCGUGAACUCUUGAAUAAUUGUGAUGAGUCAUGCUUGGGCAUGAAUGAAUGUUUGUGAGAUAUGUAUGUCAUAAGACAUGCCUAUGAUAAGAAUGUGUCAUGAAACACUAUGUAAUGGGACAUCUAUUGGUAAUAGGAGCUAAUGUGAUAAAAAUGUGAUGUGAAACACAAUGCAAUGGGACAUCUAUUGGUAGUGGGAUAUGAUAUGAUAAAAAUAUGAUGUGGAGCACUACGCUAUG